ensembl:lincRNA
GUUUGGCUCCCAAGAGCUGAACCAUUUCACUUUAUUUUUUCCUGUAAUUUUAGCUGUUGUAAUUAUGUGUUCCUGCUGAGUAAAGGGCAGAGUGGAACUUUCAACAUAUCAGGAGGAAGAGAUAGCACGAGUGUGCAUGCUCAGAAGAAAGGUUAUGGGAGGACACAAUGAAGAUGCCCAUCUGCAAAUGAAGGAGAGAAACCUCACCAGCAACUAUCCCUGCCAGCACUAUAAUCUUGGGCUUCCAAGCUCCAGAACUCACUGCUCCUUCUGCUGCCACGUGAGAAGGAUGUGUUUGCUUCCUCUUCUGCCAUGAUUUUGUUUCCUGAGACCUCCCCAGCUCUGCAGAAGUGUUUCUCCUGUGGCUGCAGCCAGAGGUAGUCAAGACUGGAACAUUCAAAAUGGCAUCUCCUUGGAGACAGAUCAAAAGCUGAAAUCUUCCUCUGGCAGCUAUCUUCAAAAGUACCACCUCCAACAUUGGGGAUCAAAUUUAAGCACGGUAUUUGAAGAAGACAAACGUCCAAAAAAUGGCAAGGAUCUUAAGAAAAUUUUUCAUGAUAAUCUGAGUGGACCUUACUUGAAUUCAUUGAAAGAGUUUAAGUGUGGAACUGGAGGGGAAAAAAAAGUCACUGUGGAUUACAGCUUCAUCUCCUGCCCAAGAGAUAACAGCCUGACCUUUCUGGAAGCCUGCCUUAUAGACUUAGAACUUGUCUAUUGAGCCACCAGAGUGGUCAUUCUAGGUGGAAGGGACUUGCCUAUUCUCAGAUGAGACUUUGGACUUGAACUUUUUGGUUAAUGCUGG